rnacentral:rRNA from 1 species
UUGAAAGGGAAACGAUUGAAGUCAGCGUACCGACGAGAAAUCACUUUCCGAGUCGGAAUUUGGGGCGUGCGUGGGCUGUUAAAGCCCCCCCUGUUUGCAAUUAGUGCUUUUUGGGUGUACUUUUUCGUAUGGUAGGCCCCGCCAGUUUCGAUCACCAUAAAACGAUUGGCGGAAUGUACCUUCGAUCUCGUAUUGAAGUGUCAUAGCCUUGGUAGAUGUGGUGAUCGAACCUGAGGAUUGCAACGAAUACCCUUUGGCCUAUCCGUCUGACUCUGGAAGUUGCUUGGGCCCGAAACCCCGCUCACGGUAUAUUAAGACGACGGUCAAAAGGUUAGAACCCGGAUCCCCCUUCGUUAAGGAUGUUGACGUA